AGUUGGUUAUGAAUAUUAUUUAUGAAUAUUAUUAGUAUGAAAAUAUUGAGAAAGGUUAAGGGUAGAAAGGAAAAUACGCAAGAUGACUCAUGGAAAUAUGGAUGGAAGGUUAAGGGCAAAUUCGGAAUUUGAAAAAAAAUUAUUUUUCAUGAAUUGCAAGACUAGAAAAAAAAAAGAAAAAAAAAGUGGGCUUGAGACCAAAAAGGCCCAAGUGGCCGGCCAAGUUAGGGUAUGGGCCAAGCCCACAUGGAUGCUUAAUGGGAAUAAAUAAAAGAAGACCCAUGGACUUUAGUAGUCAUCUUCUUUCUUUCAAGAAACUUGAAGAAGUUUCAAGAAAAGGAAGUAUAGUAGUGGUAUUCGGCCAUGGUGCCAAAAUUUAGCCAAGAAAAAUUGAUCAAGAAAAAUUAUUUUCUUCUAGCUUUUCUACCAAUUGGAACGUCCUUAACAACAUGGAGGGGUUGUUGGAGCAAGCAAACCAUUUAUUUGUGCAAAUAUACACCCCUAGCCGAGCGAAGAAAUAAGUGGAGAAAGAAUAGCAAGCUUGGAUAAAUAAGCGUAGCUAAUAAGGCGUGGAGCAGGUACACCCAGAUGAGUACAGGGCACUGUUAGAAGAUGCUUCAGCUGGAUUGGCAACUCCUUUUGUUCCUAGAGUGUUGCCGAGUCAAAGUAUAUGUGCUGUGACGUUUGUUCGAGACUAGAGACUUUGCAAACAAAAUCAUGGGUGUAGGAUGUCAGUUUUGUCAGCGGCUUCAUCAGCCGAUGUGUCUUUAUGUAUUAUGUUAUGGAUUUCAUAAGACUACAAAUUUGGUUUGAUUCGAGAACGAUAAAAGAAAGAUUUGAAAGCU